GCUACACAUGCAAGUCGAACGAACUCUUCGGAGUUAGUGGSGGACGGGUGAGUAACACGUGGGAACGUGCCUUUUGGUUCGGAAUAACUCAGGGAAACUUGUGCUAAUACCGAAUGUGCCCUUCGGGGGAAAGAUUUAUCGCCAUUAGAGCGGCCCGCGUCUGAUUAGCUAGUUGGUGAGGUAAAGGCUCMCCAAGGCGACGAUCAGUAGCUGGUCUGAGAGGAUGAUCAGCCACAUUGGGACUGAGACACGGCCCAAACUCCUACGGGAGGCAGCAGUGGGGAAUCUUGCGCAAUGGGCGAAAGCCUGACGCAGCCAUGCCGCGUGAAUGAUGAAGGUCUUAGGAUUGUAAAAUUCUUUCACCGGGGACGAUAAUGACGGUACCCGGAGAAGAAGCCCCGGCUAACUUCGUGCCAGCAGCCGCGGUAAUACGAAGGGGGCUAGCGUUGCUCGGAAUUACUGGGCGUAAAGGGAGCGUAGGCGGACAUUUAAGUCAGGGGUGAAAUCCCGGGGCUCAACCUCGGAAUUGCCUUUGAUACUGGUGUCUUGAGUAUGAGAGAGGUAUGUGGAACUCCGAGUGUAGAGGUGAAAUUCGUAGAUAUUCGGAAGAACACCAGUGGCGAAGGCGACAUACUGGCUCAUUACUGACGCUGAGGCUCGAAAGCGUGGGGAGCAA
rnacentral:rRNA from 1 species